rnacentral:rRNA from 1 species
GAAUUUUGGACAAUGGGCGAAAGCCUGAUCCAGCAAUGCCGCGUGCAGGAUGAAGGCCUUCGGGUUGUAAACUGCUUUUGUACGGAACGAAAAGCUUUUGGUUAAUACCCUGGAGUCAUCAAGCUACAGGAAGAAUUAGACACGGCUAACUACCUGCCACCCGCCCCGGGAAUAAGUAGGGUGCAAGCGUUAAUCGGAAUUACUGGGCGUAAAGCGUGCGCAGGCGGUUUUGUAAGACAGAGGUGAAAUCCCCGGGCUCAACCUGGGAACUGCCUUUGUGACUGCAAGGCUAGAGUACGGCAGAGGGGGGUGGAAUUCCGCGUGUAGCAGUGAAAUGCGUAGAUAUGCGGAGGAACACCGAUGGCGAAGGCAACCCCCUGGGCCUGUACUGACGCUCAUGCACGAAAGCGUGGGGAGCAAACA